AUUACAUUUCUCUAUAUAAAUACUCGCUCCCCAAACUCUCUUCAUCACUCAUCAUUACACACACAUCUCAUUUUGCAAACCAUCGAAAACAAACCCCUAGAACUAAGAGAGAAAAUGGCUGGUCUAAUGAAGUUGGCAUGCUUGGUCUUGGCUUGCAUGAUUGUGGCCGGUCCAAUCACAGCCAAAGCGGCUCUUAGCUGUGGAACCGUUAGUAGUAGCUUGGCACCGUGCAUUGGCUACUUGACCCAAGGUACGCCCCUUCCCUUAGCGUGCUGCGCCGGCGUUAAAAGACUAAACAGCAUGGCCCGUACAACCCCGGACCGUCAGCAAGCUUGCCGUUGCCUUGUUGGAGCCGCCAACGCCUUAGGUUCCGGUCUCAACACUGGCCGUGCAUCUGGACUUCCUAAGGCAUGUGGUGUCAAUAUUCCAUACGCAAUCAGCAAAAACACUAACUGCGCCAUGUAUGUGUUAAUCUCUCACUCUCUCUGAUACAUAUGAAAACUAAAGGUUUCUUGUUUUGUUACAAUACGAAUAUACGAUGUAACUAAUAUUAAAGUUAGUUUUUUUGACAAAAUGAAGAUUUGAGUUUGCUAUAAAACGGUUUCAUGUUUUACUAAAGUUUAUAAGUCUUCCCGGUUCAACCAUGUUCCAAUAUAAAAGUUGAAUUUUUAUACCGUUGCAACAAGUAUAUAUUAAAAGUUUAUUUUUUUGAGUGGAAAUUAGAGGUUUUUAUAUAGUAACGGUGUUAUGUUUAUUUGUAUGUGGUUGCAGCGUGCGUUAAAUGAGCGGCGGUCGGAUGAAGCUCUAGCGGAUGUUUCAAAUAUUAUAUGAGACUAUGAGAGAAUACUAAAUAAGAUGUAAUGUCUGUUUUUUUUUUGAGUUUUUAGUUUCCUGUCUUUUUUUCUUUUUUCUUUUAUGGUGGCGUUCCUAUUACUUGGUCGUCUGUACUAUGUUCGCAAUCAACGUUAUAUGAGUUUCAAAGUUCACAUUAUUUUAUAUUCUUACCAAAUCUUAGUUUAGUUUCAUCGAUAUGAAAAAUGAUCAUUAUACAUUAACAAUAUAUAUAUAUAUAUAUAUUGAUUUGCAUUACAGUUGGGAAGUAACGGAUAAUUUAAAUUUAAUUUUACAGCCAAAUAAAAUAACGGGACAUUCUCCAAAUUUGUACUAUUUACUUGUUUAGACUUAAGAUAAUCGAGAAAAUGAUGGAUCGCUAUAUGGAAUCGUGACAACUCUUGGAAAACCAGGACCCUAUCUUAUAAUGUGCCCAAAACUAGGGAUUUAUUUCAGUUUGACUUAAUUAAUUUUACAGAUUAGAUAAUGAUUUGGAUAUUGGACAAACCAAUAAAAUGAACAUAACGAAAUAAUAUUUCUAUCAAAAUUUGGUUAUCUUUUCAUCAUUGUUAGUUAUUAUUUUUUCUAAUUUAAUUUAAUUUAUAAUCUACCGUGUGAUGAAUUUUUUCUAAAGAAGAAAAAUCAAAAUUCUGUUAAACUCCAUACAGCUCCCAAAAGUCUAGGCCCAAUUCUGGUUGCUCUCUCAGUGUUGCUAAUUAACUACUUUUUUUUUUAACACAUCGAGGGAAACUCAAUUUUACAAUCAAAAUCAAACCAAUAAGUCUUAACCAUGAAAUAAUACCAAAGAUGAUGAAAUACAUUAGAGAAAAACCCAUAUAAGCUGCUAUUGUUGUAGAUGAAGUUUUUUUUGCAGAUUUAUUGGAGGCAACUGUGCGUUUGGGAAACAAAAUUUGGGAGGUGAGAAGAAACUCGCGUUGUGAUAAGAAAAUAGCGCAAUCACAUUUUGACGGAAAUUUACAAAAUCAUAGUUAUACCGGAAAAUCACCGACUGUUUGUUGAAUUAGUCCAAAGAGACUCAUGUUGGUUCAAGGUUUUUGUUUGUAUAGGUGGUUAUGUGAUAGAAAUAGUCGGAUUUAUAUUUCUGUUCUUCCGAAAUAACAUUUGUUGAUUUUUCUUUGUUGAUUAUUAGUCUAAUGUGUAUAAAAAAUGAUAAAGUUAAACAAAACGGGUAAAUUAUCGUUUUGCAUAAUUUUCUUACAUAUUUAUUUGAUCCACAGCGAAAAACGGUCUUGGGACAGCAGCUCUCAAGAUUAACAGCUACAGUUUGUAAAACAAAUGUAGACUUUGUUUGAGAAAGAGGAGUUUUUUAAAGUUUUUGAAACUCAUAUGUGUUUUUCUUGUUUUGUGAAGAUAUAAUUUGUGUGUACUUAACGCAUAUAUCUAGUCUUGUAUGAGUGAAUCAAAUAUUUAAAAUAAAGAUUGCAAUGUAAAUUUCUAGACUUAUAUACAUAGUGCAUACAUAUUUGUUGAAAAAUGAGAGCAUAAUAUAUGGUUUUAAUUAUAUUAAAUUUUCGUGUUGCGUGACUUGCGUUUCAUCUCAUUAAGAAAGUUUUUACGUAUUUUGUUGGAUCCGCUAGCUAAAUUAUUUUCAUUUGUUAAUCGGAUGUAAAAGAUAUUAGUCAGAUGAUGUUAAGUAAGAUACAAUAAGAAUAUAACAUUUAGUGAUAUUUCUACGUGAAAUGACUAUUUUCUUAUCCAUGUAUAGUUUUAACAUUCUUAAAAUGAAAAUGCAAGAGAGAUUACAUACGUCUUUUUGUGGGUGGGGGGGGGGGGGGGAAAAGAACUACGGUAAAAAAUGUAAGUAUUAUAAGUUUUCAGAAAAAUAAUAUGAUUGAAAUGUCAAACAAAAUACGUAGAUGAGAAAUGAGAGGUACUCACCACUCCUACAUAAUUAGGUACUGUACAUUAAAUGUAACCAACCACCAAUCAACUAAUCAUUUCCUCUAAAUCCCAUUCACAUUCACAACAUCAAAACUUUCUUUCUCUAUAUAAACACUCACUCCCUCAACUCUCUUCAUCACCCAAUAUCACUACACUACAUACAUCUGCUUCUUCAAACAACCAAAAAAAAAACUAUAUUUCCAAGAUAAAAAGAAAAUGGCUGGUCUAAUGAAGUUGGCAUUCCUGGUCUUGGCCUGCAUGAUUGUGGCCGGUCCAAUCACAGCCAAAGCGGCUCUGACCUGUGGCACCGUUACCAGCAACGUUGCAGCGUGCAUUGGCUACAUUACCCAAGGUGGGCCCGUUCCAGGAGCUUGCUGCUCAGGCAUUAAAAACCUUAACAGCAUGGCCCGUACAACCCCGGACCGUCAACAAGCUUGUCGUUGCCUUAAAACUGCCGCUAAUGC
rnacentral:lncRNA from 1 species